AUUGAACGCUGGCGGCAUGCUUUACACAUGCAAGUCGAACGGUAACAGGCCGCAAGGCGCUGACGAGUGGCGAACGGGUGAGUAAUGCAUCGGAACGUGCCCAGUCGUGGGGGAUAACUGCUCGAAAGAGCAGCUAAUACCGCAUACGAUCUAUGGAUGAAAGCGGGGGACCGUAAGGCCUCGCGCGAUUGGAGCGGCCGAUGUCAGAUUAGGUAGUUGGUGGGGGAAAGGCUCACCAAGCCAACGAUCUGUAGCUGGUCUGAGAGGACGACCAGCCACACUGGGACUGAGACACGGCCCAGACUCCUACGGGAGGCAGCAGUGGGGAAUUUUGGACAAUGGGGGCAACCCUGAUCCAGCAAUGCCGCGUGCAGGAAGAAGGCCUUCGGGUUGUAAACUGCUUUUGUACGGAACGAAACGGUCUGGGUUAAUACCCUGGGCUAAUGACGGUACCGUAAGAAUAAGCACCGGCUAACUACGUGCCAGCCGCCGCCGUAAAAC
rnacentral:rRNA from 1 species